UAUACGAUGCUUCUCAAUCAGCAAAAUCCCAAUGACUUUCUAGUUCCGGUCUACUGAACACAGCCCUGUUGUUUUUGUGGAGAUUUUAACUGACUAGAAUCACUACUCUAGAUCACUACGAUGUCACAAGAAUAAAAGUAAUACGCCGUACGACUUGGAUUGUCAUGUAAAAAUUGGUAGGAAAACGUUUUUGUCGGAAGCCAAAUAUACGUUUGAAGACAAAAGACAUCGGCAACGGCUUCGGCGCCUUGGACGCGACUGGUGUAAGUAUUUGUUGACAACCGUGGCCAACGAGACCAGCACCGGUAAACUCUGCAUCUGCAUCGUGAACUCUGCGGGAAGAUAAACAUUUGCUACAAAAAAAAUCAGAUUAGAAUUACAGUAAUGUUAUUCUUGCCAACGAUUCUACGUUAUCAUUACACUCGUUCUGCAUAAGUCAGCAAAAUGAACAAGCUGUAAUGGACGACCUGCCACAAGGCACAAGGGAGGAUUCAUAAUCCUUGGGAAUAAAAAGUCACCGGGCGGUGUUAAAGCCAGCGACUAAUCACAAUGCAGAUCAGUUUCGGAAUCACCUCCCUCCGCUCUACUCCGACCUCACUUCUCCCGGCUGCGAAAUUUCUUGUCUAUAUAAAGAGAAACGCAUCAGAACUGCGCAACAGUUCGCGAGUUCAUUUGAGUUCUUUGAUUUUAUCAGCAAAUUUCUCCGCGAUUUCAGUCCUCUCAGUGCUGAAUUACAGUUUACCGAAGAUCCCACAGUGAAAACCUUGACAGUCCUCACUCCUCAGUUCUGUCACCUGUGUCGAAGUCCUUAAUAGUUAACGGCUAACGUUCAGAACCGACAUUUUGCCGCGGAGCAGAGCAGAGCGUCUCCGUCAGGAAAUCGAUAAACUGAAAGCCGACGAAACCAGGAUGAAGACGAAAUUGGAUAAGCAAGCCAAGCAAUGGGAACUGGACGCCGUGAACACCCCUUUUAGAUGGGCCGUGGAGAUGUUCCGAUUCCUGGAAACUCGGGAUGAGCGGCUGGAAAAACAUCUUGAACUUCUUGAUUCAAUGAUGAGCGGCCACACGGCGGAGGUCAUGACUAUGAUGAAAGAUAUUAACGGCAAACUUGACAAACUGUUGUCUUACAUUAAGUGAUACUGUUGUAUGUUGAAGUACUCUGACAUAUGUUAGACUGUCCAGUUCAAUGUACGGUAUGAUCUAAAAAAAUGUCU